UGAUGAUCUGAUCCCUCAUCCUUUCAAGUCCCAACAGUCCUCAUUCUAGAUUGUCUAGGUUUAUGGCCCUCUUGUGGUUAGAAGUACCAUGAUCAGAGAUUCAGAGACAAUAGCAUCGUUGAAGUUGUGAAAUUAAUGGAAAUCCAGUGAAAUGCCACUAUCAAAGUCUCAAAGGCAGAGAGAGAGAGAGAGAAGCUAGGACCCUCAUAUUGUACAGUACCGCAGCAGCUGCGAUAUGUGAUUUUCCUUUGGAAGCUUUUGUUUCUUUAUCUGCAUCAUUAGUAAUCAGUCAGUGAAGGAAAGAGAGGAGGGAAACGUACUUGGUACUCGCUGCCAAUGGGUUGCACUGACUUGUCCUUCUCCGUCCCCUCUGCUAGUUACUAUUGCUUGCGGGUGCUAAAUCAACGAGUCCUUUAUUAGCCAGCGCGUAGCCGGUAUUCGUUCACGAGAAGGAAUGUCGACCAAGAACAACCGUAUAGAAUUAGUGUUGACUUGAUAUACAUUUUUUUGACUCAUUUCAAUCUUGAGUAUUGUUGUCUAACAUGAUAUAAAAGUCUUAAUUACGCGUCACAAGUUGCGUGAUGUAUUUGAAUUUGCUCACAAAGAAUUUUGUUAAAUAAGACAAUAGCCUAAUGCAUUGGUAUCGUUUUCAUGCAUGUUUGUCAUGCAUGUUUGUCUACAAAUGAAUACCUACUGUAAUGUUCUUGUCUGGCUGUUUUCUUUUUCCAUUUUCCGGGUAGACAAUUACAUUGUCAAGGAUUGCGGAUUUUUGGUAUCAAGCUAAUGUCAAUAAAAGCUGCAUCAAGCACCAGAACCUAGCUAAUUGCUGCAAAGGGUUUUAUUACCAAACCUACCGUAGUAAUUAAAGGUUGUCAACUUUCUACUUA